rnacentral:tRNA from 1 species
CGAGGUGUAGCGCAAUUGGUAGCGCACGUGGUUUGGGACCAUGGGGUUGGGAGUUCGAGUCUCUUCACCUCGACCA